GACGAACCGUGCGAACGUUGUUCGGAAUCACUGGGCUUAAAGGGCGUGUAGGCGGCUCCGCAAGUCGGGGGUGAAAUCUUUCGGCCCAACCGGAAAAGUGCCCCCGAUACUGCGGGGCUCGAGGGGGAUAGGGGCGGACGGAACUUCCGGUGGAGCGGUGAAAUGCGUUGAUAUCGGGAGGAACACCAGUGGCGAAGGCGGCACUCUGGGCCGGUACUGACGCUGAGGAGCGAAAGCGUGGGGAGCGAACAGG
rnacentral:rRNA from 1 species